rnacentral:rRNA from 1 species
UACAGAGGAGCCAAGCGUUGUCCGGAUUGACUGGGCGUAAAGCGCACGCAGGCGGAUACGCGCGUGGGGUGUGAAAUCUGGCCGCUUAACGGCCAGGCGCCAUCCCAUACGGCGCGUCUGGAGCUGUGCAGAGGUCGGUGGAAUUGCCGGUGUAGUGGUGAAAUGCGUAGAGAUCGGCAGGAACACCCAGGGGGAAACCAGCCGACUGGGCACAUGCUGACGCUGAGGUGCGAGAGCGUGGGGAGCGAACCGG